GUCCCUAGAGGCACUGCAGGUAUUACAUGUGCAGCAGUAGGUGGCAGAGAGGAGAGAGGCUGUGUCCACUUAGUGUCCUGACCUGGGAACAUCUGAGUGACUAGUAACCCAGGAUG
rnacentral:snoRNA from 1 species